rnacentral:rRNA from 1 species
AAACCGUUGAAAGGGAAGCGAAUGGAGUUAGCAAUUCGUUUGUCAGAUUCAGUUGCAUGCACGCAACGACGUGCGCGCCCUUGAUCCGCAUGGACAAGGCGUGUCCGGAUGUGACGUGCAAGCAGCGCACUUCUGGCAGGCGAGCGUCAGCGUCGGUUGUUGUGGAGCGAAAAAGUUGCGGGGAAGGUAGGCGAAUUCUCGUUGUUAAGCCCUGCAUUCGCAUAUCUCUACGACGACCGUGGCACUGCGACGCGUGCUUUGCUGGCAACCCAAUUUCUCGGUCCGACAUGUCAACCGUGGUGGACGGCACGCCUGUGCACUCGAACCGCUGUCGGUCGUGUAUUGGUGUUUGCACAAUAC